AGAAAUAUCCUUAUCAUUCAAUAUAAUUCAAGGACUGGAUUGGAAACAGGAACAAGGUAGAACAGGGAAGGACCUAUGAAAAGGCCAAACCAGUCCACUCCAGGGGUAUUACAUCCUACAACUGCUUCGUACAGGAAAACAAAGAGAAAUUAGGUAAAAUGGAAAAUUGGUCCAAUAGUUGGAAUCAACUUAGCCUUGAGGAUAAAAAUGACUAUAAAGAAAAGGCAAAAGAAAUAAACAGUGAACCAUCAGAACCACUAAAUCAUUCCAAACAAUUAUUAAAAAAGAUCUGUAGUUUGAUAAAAGAACUUGCAGACACUGGUGUAGAGGCUUGUUUGAUGGGGGUUGAUUUAAACCAAAACAUGAUAGAGAUGGGCACACCUAAGAUGUGCAGCUUUAUUGAAGACAACCCUGAAAUAGUUCAGAAGGUUUACCUUCAUAUAACAAAUGGAAAUCAAAAGACCAAUGGAACAGAUAGGUUUGAGGACAUCAGUGAAUUAAGAAAAAAAGCCCAGGAUCAAAUGAAUAUGUUGUUCUCUAAAGCAGUGGAAAAGGAAAGUAGAUUCCCUUAUAAAAAAGUACAGGAUGGCAAGAUUACCAUAUCUGGUGUACCAGCAGAGCUUUUGCCAAUCCAAAGAAUGUCGACCUAUGGCAAGGACAAGUUAAAGACAAUAAUUUCUUUAACUGAACUUUCAGUUGAAACAAAAAAAACCUCUUCUUCUGAGAACCAAACUGACAAUUCAACUUUCCAAGAAUCUGAUAUCUUAACUUUGACCCAAGAGGAAUACAUAUCCUUACAGAAUCAAGAUGACAUUGGAGUUGUGGAAUUGCCUAAUGACUUUGAUCUGCUGACCGAAUUUAUCAUUCCUACAGUUACUGUAACAACUACAGAACAUGAAUUGUCACACACAAAUCUAUCUACAACUACACAACUUGGACAAACACAAAAAAAAUAUACAAUCAGUUACAAACAAAAAAAUUACACUUGCACCAUCGACAUCUGCAAAACCAUCAGACACCCUCACUACUAUAAUUCGUACACCCACUGUAAUAACUAACACAUCCUCAACUAAAACAUCAAUGCACACAUGUACACCUGUAAUUACUGCACAACCUACACAAACAACUGUACACACACACACAACUACUAAUCCUACAUCAACAUCUACAAAACUAUCAGACACUCUAAAAACUACAAAUCAUACACCCAUUCUCAUAUCUACAGAUACUGCACAACUUGGACAAACACAAAAAACUAUACAAUCAGUUACAAACAAAAAACUUACACUUGCACCAUCAACAUCUAAAAAAAUGUCAGACACCCUCUCAACAAAAAUGCAUACACCUAAUCUUAUAACUACAGACACACCCUCAACAUCACAACUUGGACAGACACAAAAAACUAUAGAAACAACACAAACAGGAACUUCCAACCCUACCCACACAAAAAAGAGGAAAGACAGCAAAGAUUCUGAAGGCAGCUUUAAGAAAAAUAAAAUAGAUGAAGAACUCAAUGCCAAUUUCUUUAGAGUUGCGGGCAUCUUGGGAGAUAAAAAAGUAGGCAGGAAGAGAAUGUAUCUGGUUCAUUG